CACUUUCUUCCUCUUUCCUGCUUUGCCCAGAUAUUCUUUUGACUUUUUCUACAAUUCAGUGUCUUCUAAAUUGCUUCUUUUUCAGGUUUCCUUUCUAAAACCUUUUUUUUCUUAACAGUUCUGCAAGCUGCUUUUCCAUUCCCCCUCCCCCUGCCUGUACCCCUCAAAUACACUGCCAUCUUCUCAACAGUGUAACUGAUCUCCUGUUCAACAGAUCAGAUUUAAUCUUCACAAAUUCACUUUCAGACCCGGGCCAAUUCAUUUACUUUCUGUCUGGCCCCGGUUUUUAAUGUUCUGCUGGCUCCAUGUUGUUAGCUGCAGUUCUCCAGGAGCCUUGCUGUUGUUUGCCUUUGCUUUAGCACACUUAUGGUACUCUUUGCUGAUCCUACUGCCCACCUCCAUUUCUUUAAAACCCAAUUUUUCCUCAGCAACUCCAAGAUGCUGACCCAGUGUGGCCCCAUUGCCCACAUCUGCAGAUAGGAGCUCUGUGACACUCUCAGAGACAACACCCCGUGUAAAUACAUCAAAGACAAGAUGCUGCCUAGAAUCAGUAGCAUUACAGUCAUGAGUGAUCCAUUGCAACUCUACUGCCAGCUUCUUUCAGGAAGGAUACGUCUGUGGUGCCCAGCAAUACAAAUGGAAAACAAAAUAAAUGUGGAUACUCACGUUUAUGGUAUGUUUCUAACGCAUUUCAUCUACCUUCCUGCUAGAGAAUGGUGUCAGCACUUUGUGAAGACGAGUUUGAUCAAACAAGUGAGGGGUUUGUA